rnacentral:rRNA from 1 species
AACGAACGCUGGCGGCAUGCCUAACACAUGCAAGUCGAACGAGACCUUCGGGUCUAGUGGCGCACGGGUGAGUAACGCGUGGGAACCUGCCCUUAGGUUCGGAAUAACUCCCCGCAAGGGGUGCUAAUACCGGAUAAUGUCUUCGGACCAAAGAUUUAUCGCCUUUGGAUGGGCCCGCGUUGGAUUAGCUAGUUGGUAGGGUAAAAGCCUACCAAGGCGACGAUCCAUAGCUGGUCUGAGAGGAUGAUCAGCCACACUGGGACUGAGACACGGCCCAGACUCCUACGGGAGGCAGCAGUGGGGAAUAUUGGACAAUGGGCGAAAGCCUGAUCCAGCAAUGCCGCGUGAGUGAUGAAGGCCUUAGGGUUGUAAAGCUCUUUUACCCGGGAUGAUAAUGACAGUACCGGGAGAAUAAGCUCCGGCUAACUCCGUG